CAUCACUCCUAGCUGGUAAGUUGCCUGAUGAUCCUUUUCCUUGAUUUCUUCAAACUGUUCUAAUGCUUCUUCAUACCAUCCCUGUAAGCUCCCAGGAAAUACUGAAUUAUUUUCAUUAUUACCUUAAAGUAAUCCCAAAUACUUAGUUCCCACCUAAAUCUAGCUAGCAGCACCAAAUAAAACAAAAGACAGCAACAAAUUUAUGGAAUUUGCAAGUAAGCUAUUGACAACAAUCAACACAGUAUAAAAUCAAUAAAAUAAACCUAAAUAUGGCAACUGAGGGAACUGACCAGGAGGAACCUGGGUCAGACUCUCUUUGGCUUUCACUCUUACUCUUGGCUAUUGCCAAACCACUCUCUAAAUGAUAGCCUAGCUCUCUGCUCAUUCCAGCCUGCCAUAUCACCCGCUACUCCUGGAGUCUGAGAAACUUCAGAGCUGGGGCCAAAGACUCUGAGAAAAGAUAAACAUCAGGAUAUCCGCUACUACUAAAUAUCCACUAUGAUAUGGCUCUUCCAGUUUUGCCAUUUUCUAGCUAGGGAGAAGACACAGAAAAACAAAUAUGUGAUUCUCCAAAAUUAUCUUUCUCCCAUACUUCCUAUAAAAACCUACGUGUCAUAUGUCACUCAUUUAAGGCUCCUCAGCGUUAUAGGAUAUAAUAACAAAUAUGAUGAAGUGUAAGGAACAAAAAUGGGGCUUAUGUCUUAAUCCACCAUGGAAAAUGCCUUACGCUAAAGAAUAAAUCAUUUGUAACAGUGGAAAGAGAGUCUCUGAGUUGGAAGGUCAUUACUAGGAAGAGCAGACCAAAGAAAAGCAACUUUUGGAAAACACAGGAACAAUUGAAUUUCUCUUUUCAUAAACUGUAAUUAAUCAACAAACUGAUAAAAUUAAUAAAAACUGUACCAAAAUGCUAACAAAUAUUUAUCUUAAAGAACACAUAACAAUGAGUAAAUGACUGAGUUGUAAAGAUUCAUUCUGCUUUCUGGCUAAUGUUUGGCCAACAUAUAAGAGGGCUGGAAAACUUAGAAUACUCUAUACAGAGGAAGAGAAAGGAAGUCCUUUUAGUUUUUCAUGAUUUUAAAUACCAUAUACAUGCUGGAAAAUCUCAGAUAUGUACUUUCAACUCAGACUUCUCCUUUGAGAUCUAGAGUCUUACAUGUAGUUUCUACUUUGAAACAUGUAUACUUGGAUGACUAAGGGGAAUCUCAAACAUAAAAUGUCCAAAAACUGAACUCCUGAUGGUUCCCUCAAAACUCACUCCUCCCCACUUCUCUAUUUUUCAGUCCAUGAUGCCAUUACUUGUAUCUCCAAAAUAAAUCCAGGACCCAGCUCCACUGCUGGGUCAAGAUCACCAUCCUCUCUUGCCCCAACUAGUAUAAUUUUCCCCUAAACUGGUCGUGGUUCUAUGCUUCCCUUCCAAUCCAUUCAUCACAGUCUCAAAACACUUCAAUGGCUUCUCACUACAUUUUAAACAAGGCUUAUCUAGAGCCAUUCUCUGCCUUGCUGACUAUGACAUUGGUCUCUUAAUUCCUAGAGCUCACCAAACUCUUCCUCAUCUCAGAAACGUUGCAUUUGUUCUCCCUUCUACCUGGAAUGCACUUCCCUAUGGCUGUUUGCAUUGCCUGUUUCCUUGUCUUCAAGUUUUAGUUUCAACAACAGAUGAGGAAACUGAGGCACCAAGAGGUUAAGCAUUUGUGCCCAAGGAUACAGUUACCAAGCAAUGGAACCGUAUUUGAACCUAUGCCCAAAGCUGAAAGAUCAUUCUCUGAACCAUUACGCUACGUGAUCCUCACAGUGACAGGUGCAUUAUGAGUCCUCAACAAAUAUUUGUUGCCAGAAUGAAUGAAGGAGCCAUCAAAAGAUAAAAGGGUGUCCUAAAGUCCUGAAAGUAAAAUCAGGAUCAGGAUCUCAUUAUGAAACUUCUUCACUGAUGAUUUGCUACCAGAAUUUUCGGGCUUCCCUGGUGGCGCAGUGGUUGAAAGU